CCACAUAUAACACCUACAUUUUAUCCAGUGUAUGUGUUUUGGACACUAGAAGACACUCGUAUGUCACUUCUGUUGGAAUGUGGGAAUCAGUUUAUAUACGAAUGAUCUGUGUUUGAGGUACGAGUGUGUGUAUUAGUAUCAUAGGCAUCGUGGACUAAAACAGCAAAGUGGAUGUUGAAGUUCAGUCCCUGUUCCUGUUAAACUGUUAGCAGAGAAACCGAUCGCAUCUGAACAGGACGCACAAUGUCCAGAGUUUAAAAGUCAUCAAUCAGCAUGUUGGAUAUCUGGAGGAAUGACCACAUGACCAUGUGUGACGUGAAAAGAUUGUCUUUUCUUUGCUCGUGAAAUGAAUCCCAUCCAGAUAGAGUGUGUAAAAUUGCAAGACUAAAGUAGGAGGUCUGAGAACGUUCUGCUGCACUGCUCUGGACAGUCUGGAGGACGUUCUAUGAGUCGCUUUAAACAUUCCGGAAAUGGGUUUAUACAACAACCGAGAUGUUAAAUGUGAACAUCUGAAUGACUUCUAUGUGUGAAUUUUGCUGAAUGUUCGUUUUACAGAACCCGUCAUUAUCACCCUCAUUUCCUCUGAACUCUGAACGUAACACAUGCUGGGCGUCUGGAGAAGGAAGUAGGAAGUUACAGAACGUCUCUCUGUCAUUAGUGCUGAUGAUGUGUGUGUGUAUGUUUAAUAGCCUGAGGAUGCUGUUCCUACUGAACCCUUUUCUCGGUCUCUUUCCAAGUGGUUUUAGAUCCACAGCGCCCUCUGGUGCUACAGAUGGAAAAACUGAACUUGAUGUACAUGAUGUGGUUUGAAAUUACUCAAACAUAUUGGGUGUUUUCUUCUCUGACAUCUAAAUGUCGACUCAUCAUGUGGUAGAAAGUGCUGUAGAGGAGCAGGCCUUCUGAUUUUCUGUUAAACACGUCACAGCAGAAAGAACAUCAGUGAGAAGACAGUUAACCUCAGGCUCUCAGACAUGAGACGGGGAGUCUGAGGCUUCCUCACCAUCACUCUGACUUCCUCACCAUCACUAUGAGACUUCCUCAUGAUCACUCUGAGACCUCUUCAUCAUCACUCUAAGACCUCUUUAUCAUCACUCUGAGACUUCCUCACCAUCAGUGUGAGACCUCUUCAUCAUCACUCUAAACCUUCCUCACCAUCACUGUGAGACUUCCUCAUCAUCACUCUGAGACUUUCUCACCAUCACUCUGAGACGUCUUCAUAAUCACUCUGAGACUUCCUAACCAUUACUCUGAGACCUCUUCAUCAUCACUCUGAGACUUCCGAACCAUCACUCUGAGACGUCUUCAUCAUCACUCUGAGACCUCUUCACCAUCACUCUGAAACCUCUUCAUCAUCACUCUGAGACUUCCGAACCAUCACUCUGAGACGUCUUCAUCAUCACUCUGAGACUUCUUCACCAUCACUCUGAAACCUCUUCAUCAUCACUCUGAGACUUCUUCACUCAUCCUAAUUCCUGGACCUUCUCAGAUCUUCUUUCUUAUCAAGCAAUUAAUGUAAUUGUGGAAAAUCAAACAGCGCAUGAAAGAAUUUAUUUAAAAAAUCAUUUAUAGGAGACUCGAUGAAGCAGCUUCACAUCCAUCAAACCGCAAGUAAUUCAUAGAUGUUUUCUCACGUAGAUGUUUCUGCUCUUCUAGCCAGUCAAUUCCCAUGUCUGAUAAAGAUUUUUAAUAAUAGUCAUUGAGAUAUGAUCAGGAAUGCUGGAGAUGUGGUGGAGUGUUUCCAGGUCCGGGUUGGCGUGAUUCUAUCCCAGCAUGGUAAUGGGAGCGGGAACGGGUUGUGUGGAGAUACGGUGUAUCCUGUAGAAGAUAAUGAGGCGUGUAAACAGGAAUGAAAGGAGAACAGAUGAAGCACUCGUAAUGACGCCCAGAGAAACCCAGUUGACACAGGAGGCAAUUAAAUCAGAAUCACUUCAUCUGUCACAACAUUUCCUCUGUGUUUAAGAUCUGAUCGUUCUGCUUCCACACAACAUGUAAACACACUGCUUUCACAUUUAUCACCUUCUCUCAGGGUCACUUUUCCUUGAGAUAGAAUCUUCUUCUAACUACUCUGCUGACUGGUUCUGGUUUUCCUCCACCAUAUUUCCAGAUUUCUAUCUUUUAACACUUUUAUUUACUUUCGGUUUAUUUCGGUUCUCAUCCUCACUCUGGGACCUUCUCAUCUUUACUCUGGGACCUUCUCAUCCUAACUCUGGGACCUUCUCAUCCUCACUCUGGGACCUUCUCAUCCUCACUCUGGGACCUUCUCAUCCUAACUCUGGGACCAUCUUAGACCUUCAUCCUCCCUAUGGGGCUCCACAGGCGUCCUCCUACUCACUCUCUGGCUUUUUUUUUACUCUGUGACCUCCUCAGAAU